GCCAAAACCCCCGAUCAAUCCGGCCCCGAGGAAUUAUCCCAGUCCGCCAGAGCCCGGAUUGGUCCCGCAGCAUUCCCGGGAUGACUUCAUCGGGAUCCAGCCCCGAGCCGGCAGCGCCGGGAGCUUUUCCAUGUUGACAAACAGCUGAACUCUUGGAGCCCUGAAUCGAUCCAGCGGCAAUUCCAGGAGCUGAAAUCCCUGCGGAAUUCCCAGGCUCAGAGCCUCGGGCUGUUCCCCCCGGGAAGCACAGCCACGUUUUUCCCCAGGAAUUGCACAGUCAAAAGAAUAAAAGGCUGUUUUGGUAAAAAGCAGGGUGAAAUCCAGGGAAAUUCUGCCCCAGCGGCUCAGAAUCCCUGAGAAUCCUCAGGCAUCUUUUCCAAGCGCUGUUUGGAAUUGUUAUCACCCGGAGAUGAUUCCCCGCUUCCCGAGCACGGAGCCUUCCAUUCCCUUCAUAAACUUACACAGGUCAGGAAUCCGCUCCAGCCUCCCCCGAUCCCAAAUUCCUUAAGGAAUUCUGUCUGCGCAUCCCACAGCGAGUCCCAUCCGUGUCCCGGCGGGCAUCCCACACCCCCCGCAUCCCUUCCCUGGGUUAUUCCCGGGGGAGGUUUGUUCACAAUUCAAUCCCUUACCAGCCGCAUGGUGAAGUUUCCCAGGAAAAGGAGGCAGGAAUGCGGCUCCUCCCGGCGCUGGCUCCCGUGGAAUAGCAGGAAUAGACGGGGAAGCUGCAAACCUUGGAGUUGAAAAUCCUCAAAGAGAGAGGGGAAAAUCCGGGAAGAGGCAGAUGGGGAGCUCCCAGCCCGCAGGCAGAGAGAUGAGAAACUUGUGGCACGGCUCCAGCGCAGGGAUGGAUCCGCUGGAAUUCCCAGCCAUGGGAAUGAGCCAAACUUGCAUUUACGGGAGGCUCUGAUCCCUGCAAGGAGCGAUUUCCAGGGAAUCCAGCGGGGAGCGACGCUGGCUCCAAAAGGGAAUGGCGGGGCCAAAAGACUCUGGAAGGCUCAGACCAACAACCCUUGGUGCUCCAAACUCCAGUUUUCCAUGGAUGAUUUGGUCUCCUGAGCUCCAGCCCCUCUUCCUCACCUCUCCCUGCAGGAAAACCCUCUCAGCCCUUCCCAGGAGCCGGGGUUGUCCUUCCCUGUGCUCCCAGGAGCUGAUCCCAGGAUCCCAGGAUUUGAUGGAUGGCCUUGGGCAGAUGGAACAGGAGAGGAGAGCGGGAAGGACACACAGAGCUCUGGCUGGGAAAGCAGGAUCUGGGCAUGUUCCUGUUCCAGUUCCCACUGGAAUAAUGAGAAUAAUUAGCACUGGAAUAAUAAUCUGGAAUAAUGAGCACUUCCUGCCCAACCAACGGCUUUUAAAGCAAUCAAAAUCCAGGAGCUCCUGCGUCCCCAGAGCUGCCUGGGAACCCUCCUGGGAACCCAGGAAUUAAAUCAGGAAUGAAAUCCACGAAGCUAAAGGGAUCAUUUUCCUCUCUGAUCAGUGGGAUCUGAGACUGUGAGGAGAUCUCGGAGCUGCACUAAAUACCCAGCCAGCCCCCACAUUCCCUCCAUGGAAUUGCAGCAGCCCAGGAUGGUUUCAUCAGAAUUUUUCUGGAGGAUCAAUUCCCAUCUGCUGGACUUGACCACGGAUUUGCUGUGAUCUGGAACGGGACGCUCCAGCCAACCCCCACGUCCAUCCAUGGAAUUUCAGAAGGGCUGGGAUGGUUUAACCAGAUUUUUCCAGAAAUUCCCAUCUCCUGGAUUUAACCAAGGAUUUGUUGUGUUUUAGGAGCUGUGGGGAUUUGGCUCUCAGUGCUUGGUCAGGGGUGGGGUGGGGUGAUCCAGACAGAGCAGGGAGGUCCCUCUGGAGCAGGGAGAUCCCUGUGGAGCAAGGUGAUCCAUCUGGAACAGGACAAGCACUCUGGAAUGGGAUGAUCCCUCCAGAGCAGGAUGGUCCAUCUGGAUCAGAACAAUCCCUCUGGAGCAGGAUGGUCCCUCUGGAACAGGAUGAUCCCUGUGGAGCAGGACAAUCCCUCUGGAGCAGGAUGGUCCCUCUGGAGCAGGACAAUCCCUGUGGAGCAGGACAAUCCCUCUGGAGCAGGAUGGUCCCUCUGGAACAGGACAAUCCCUGUGGAGCAGGAUGAUCCAUGUGGAGCAGGACAAUCCCUGUGGAGCAGGACAAUCCCUCUGGAGCAGGACAAUCCCUCUGGAGCAGGACAGUCCCUCUGG
rnacentral:lncRNA from 1 species